GGUUGAUCCUGCCGGAGGUUACUGCUAUCUGAAUCCGACUAAAACAUGCUAGUCCUGGGUUAAACCAGGGCGAACAGCUCAGUAACACGUAGUUAAUCUGCCCUUGGGCUUGGCGUAAUCCCGGGAAACUGGGGCCGAGCACCAGAUAGGUAAUGGGUACUGGAAUGUCCUUUUACCGAACCAAGGAUGAGACUGCGGCCCAUUAGGUCGUUGCUAGGGUAACGUCCUGACAAGCCUGUAAUGGGUUUAGGCCUUGAGAGAGGAAGCCUAGAGAUGGAUUCUGAGACAAGAAUCCAGGUCCUACGGGACGCAGCAGUUGCGAAAAUUCUACAAUGCGCGAAAGCGUGAUAGAGGGAUUCAGAGUGUUUCUCCUUAGGGAGAAACUUUUCCCAAGUCUAAAAAGCUUGGGGAAUAAGUGGUGGGCAAAACGGGUGCCAGCCGCCGCGGUAAUACCCGUGCCACGAGUGGUAACCAUGUUUAUUGGGUUUAAAGUGUUCGUAGCCGGUCUGACAAGUUCUCAAUGAAAUUCCACAGCUAACUGUGGAGCUUGUUGGGAAUACUGCCAGACUUGAGACCGGGAGAGGCCAAGGGUAUUCCAGGGGUAGGGGUAAAAUCCUGUAAUCCUUGGAAGACCACCUGUGGCGAAGGCGCUUGACUAGAACGGAUCUGACGGUGAGGGACGAAAGCUAGGGGAGCGAAGCGGAUUANAUACCCGCGUAGUCCUAGCCGUAAACGAUGCCCACUAGACAUUGGAUAUGCUACGGUGUAUUCAGAGUCGUAGGAAAACCGUUAAGUGGGCCGCCUGGGGAGUACGUUCGCAAGGAUGAAACUUAGAGGAAUUGGCGGGGGAGCAC
rnacentral:rRNA from 1 species